rnacentral:rRNA from 1 species
UUCGGAAUUACUGGGCGUAAAGGGCGUGUAGGCGGCCAACUAAGUCCGACGUGAAAUCCCCAGGCUUAACCUGGGAACUGCGUCGGAUACUGGAUGGCUUGAAUCCGGGAGAGGGAUGCGGAAUUCCAGGUGUAGCGGUGAAAUGCGUAGAUAUCGAGAGGAACACCUGCGGCGAAGGCGGGUUGCUGGGCUGACACUGACGCUGAGGCGCGAAAGCCAGGGGAGCGAACGGG